rnacentral:rRNA from 1 species
AGCUCCAGUAGCGUAUAUUAAAGUUGCUGCAGUUAAAAAGCUCGUAGUUGGAUUUCUGGUCUAAUGCGCCUGGCCCGCCACGGUUACGUGUGUGAGUGCCGGUGUGCGUUGACCAUCUUCCUAGGAAACGGUGCUACCCUUCACUGGGUCGGCGCCGCGAUCUAGGACUUUUACUUUGAAAAAAUUAGAGUGUUUAAAGCAGGCUUUUGCUAUGAAUACAUUAGCAUGGAAUAAUAAUCUAGGACUUCGGUUCUAUUUUGUUGGUUUCUAGGACUGAAGUAAUGAUUGAUAGGGAUCGUUGGGGGUGCUAGUAUUGAGCGGCCAGAGGUGAAAUUCUUGGAUUCGCUCAAGACUAACUUAUGCGAAAGCAUUCACCAAGGAGGUCUUCUUUA